rnacentral:tRNA from 1 species
GCCUAUGGUGGUUCAGUGGUAGAGUGCUCGCCUGCCACGCGGGAGGCCCGGGUUCGAUUCCCGGCCGACGCA